rnacentral:lncRNA from 10 species
UGAAGCCUUGCUAUUGUAGGCUGGGCUAAGCUUCACUUGGCUCUAUAGUCCUUUUCCAGCUCGAGGUUUGGCUCCUCACUGCUAAAGGUGAGCUUCAGGUUUGUUGGACAAGCGUUUAUUCUUGGGUCCAGGCAUUCAAUUUCUGCUACUCCCUCUGUGACCUCAUCCCAACAUCAGCUAAAUUUGCUCUACUCCCAAUUUUCCACUUUGUGAGAAUAAUCUCCUAACAUUACUGCUCCCAUGAUUCUACCCUCCCUCUGUACAAUUAUUUCAACCUCACUAAAUUAUAUGUCUUCCAAGGUUUUCAAUAUUCUCCUGUUUUCAUUUAAUUCUGUUUUUAGCCUAGGUUUCAAGGCUGCUUUAACCACACCGCAGAACACAGCUCCACUGACUCUUGUCCUCUUGCCAUCUGCUUGCCACAGUUUCACCUUCUCAUCAGAAAGCAUUGUAUUCAUUCCCCUCAUGGCUUUUUGUGCUGUGGAAUAUAAGCACAAUGAUGGAGACCCUAGCAUUUAUGAUCACAUAAAUAACUUGUUUUGAUUGCUUGAAUUCACAUCACUCCAGAGUUGUAAAGAAACAAAAAAUAAAACAAAAUCCUGAUCUUUUUUCAUAUUUGAACAUAUAAUAUUUUAGUCUUAUAAUGAAUUUACUCAAGCAUUAAUGGUCAGUUUUCACCAAUGUUUGCCAGAGUGGGAGUUUAUUUUUCUGAAAGAACCAUGUAGGGUCUCACAUGAAAAAAUAUAUAUAGUAUUCCAAAAUAUUUUCAGUACAGAAGGAGAUGACUGCCUGCCAGUAAACUCUAAUAUAAGACUUUCCCAGCAUAAAAUUGACAGCAUUUUCAUUUUGAUUGCUUUACUUGAUAAGUUUUGAGUGCUAGUAUUUGUAUUUUAUAUUCCAACAGGCUCACAUAUUAUCUUCAUCAGUGGAUGAAAAGCAACAAUCUAAGUUCUAUUUUGUCUAGUCAAGUUGUAGGAUACAGAUCUGACUCCAUAAUAUGGUUGGAUGCUCCCUCCAAAUCUCAUGUUGAUAUGUGCUCCUCAGUGUUAAAGGUGAAACAUGGUUGGAUUUCGUCUGUUCUUGCACUGCUAUAAAGAGGCUGGACACGGUGACUCACAUCUGUAAUCCCAGCACUUUGGGAGGCCAAGGCAGGCGGAUAACGAGGUGAAGAGAUAGAGACCAUCCUGGCCAACAUGGUGAAAC